UACGGAGGGGGCUAGCGUUGUUCGGAAUUAUUGGGCGUAAAGCGCGCGCAGGCGGUUUCUUAAGUCUGAUGUGAAAGCCCCCGGCUCAACCGGGGAGGGUCAUUGGAAACUGGGAAACUUGAGUGCAGAAGAGGAAAGUGGAAUUCCAAGUGUAGCGGUGAAAUGCGUAGAGAUUUGGAGGAACACCAGUGGCGAAGGCGACUUUCUGGUCUGUAACUGACGCUGAGGCGCGAAAGCGUGGGGAGCAAACAGG
rnacentral:rRNA from 1 species